UCCUACGGGAGGCAGCAGUGGGGAAUCUUAGACAAUGGGGGCAACCCUGAUCUAGCCAUGCCGCGUGAGUGAUGAAGGCCUUAGGGUCGUAAAGCUCUUUCGCCAGGGAUGAUAAUGACAGUACCUGGUAAAGAAACCCCGGCUAACUCCGUGCCAGCAGCCGCGGUAAUACGGAGGGGGUUAGCGUUGUUCGGAAUUACUGGGCGUAAAGCGCACGUAGGCGGAUUGGAAAGUUGGGGGUGAAAUCCCAGGGCUCAACCCUGGAACUGCCUCCAAAACUAUCAGUCUAGAGUUCGAGAGAGGUGAGUGGAAUUCCGAGUGUAGAGGUGAAAUUCGUAGAUAUUCGGAGGAACACCAGUGGCGAAGGCGGCUCACUGGCUCGAUACUGACGCUGAGGUGCGAAAGUGUGGGGAGCAAACAGGAUUAGAUACCCUGGUAGUCCACACCGUAAACGAUGAAUGCCAGUCGUCGGGUAGUAUACUAUUCGGUGACACACCUAACGGAUUAAGCAUUCCGCCUGGGGAGUACGGUCGCAAGAUUAAAACUCAAAUGAAUUGACGGA
rnacentral:rRNA from 1 species